CCAUGUCUCCCAGUGUUCCCAUUUCUCUAAGUGUUCCCUAGUAUGAGAGACAUGGGGACACUGGGAGAUAUGGGGACACUGGGAGAUAUG